rnacentral:rRNA from 1 species
AACGAACGCUGGCGGCAGGCCUAACACAUGCAAGUCGAGCGCUACCUUCGGGUGGAGCGGCGGACGGGUUAGUAACGCGUGGGAACAUACCCCUUUCUACGGAAUAGCCAUUGGAAACGAUGAGUAAUACCGUAUACGCCCUUCGGGGGAAAGAUUUAUCGGUGAGGGAUUGGCCCGCGUAAGAUUAGAUAGUUGGUGGGGUAAUGGCCUACCAAGUCUACGAUCUUUAGCUGGUUUUAGAGGAUGAUCAGCAACACUGGGACUGAGACACGGCCCAG